ensembl:lncRNA
AAACCACCCGUGACUGUGGCUCAGCAGGCUGAAGUUUGACUUUGUCUCUGUGUUUUUUUUCCUCGGUGUUCCCGGAGAGGAUAUCGGGACUUCUGAAGUUUGGAGCCGCUUUUCUUCAGAAGCUUUGCGCCACUUUAUUCCUGCACACAGGCGCUCUGUGAAGCGCGCCUUUCAUCUCUCUUUAAAAAGGAAAAAACCCGCUGAAAACACGGAGGAUUGUUCGAGCUGGAAGUGGAAGCCUUAGAGGAACACGGUGUAGCCCGCAGGUGGCAAUAUGUCCCAGUGCAGUCAGAGGGGAAGAGCCAGGCCCAAAGAUUAUGCAAGAUGUAAUUAUUCAGUCAGCAAGACACUUGCUGCAGUUACUGACAUCAUCCAACUGAACUGCUGCUGUGAUGAAUCAGAAUACAAGAGAACAGAGUCAAGGUACCAGCUUGGUCAACCCUAAAAGACCAUCUGUUCAUCAAGAAAUGACCAGGUGAAAAAGUCAUAAACUAAACACUCUGCAUGAAUUUAGGAUGCAACUUUAUAUCUUACCUGCUCUACACUCAGGGCUUGAAUUACAACAACAGUCAAUCACAUAAAGAAAAAAAAUACUUUUGGUAGUUCUGUGUCUCUCUCUCUCCUCCAAACCCAGAUGGCUGCUGGUACUGAACCGGGUUCUGCUGGAGGUUUCUUCUUGUUAAAGGGGAGUUUUUCCUCUGCACUGUCA